UAAAUGACUCCUGGCAAUGGAUAUCUUGGCUCUCGUGUCGAUGAAGAACGUAGUGAAAUGCGACACUUGAUGUGAAUUGCAGAAUCCCGUGAACCAUCGAGUCUUUGAAUGCAAGUUGCGCUCGAGGCCGUUAGGUCGAGGGCACGUCUGUUUGGGUGUCAUGUC
rnacentral:rRNA from 1 species